rnacentral:rRNA from 1 species
GCAUCGAUGAAGAACGCAGCGAAAUGCGAUAAGUAAUGUGAAUUGCAGAAUUCAGUGAAUCAUCGAAUCUUUGAACGCACAUUGCGCCCUGUGGUAUUCCACAGGGCAUGCCUGUUUGAGCGUCAUUUC